rnacentral:snRNA from 1 species
AAUGUAGAAUAUACAUUCUAAAAACAAUCAGGAAAAAUGAGAGAAGGGAUGAGUUGGGAGGAGAUGGGUGAGAAUGUUGAGAGGAGGGGUGUGGAUCAAGAUACACUGUAGUGCUCGCUUAGGCAGCACAUAUUAGCAUGGCCCGUGCUCAAGGACGACACGCAAACUCAUGAAGUGUUCCAUAUUUUU